GCCAGACUCCUACGGGAGGCAGCAGUAGGGAAUAUUGCUCAAUGGGGGAAACCCUGAAGCAGCAACGCCGCGUGGAGGAUGAAGGUUUUCGAAUUGUAAACUCCUUUUGUUAGAGAAGAUAAUGACGGUAUCUAACGAAUAAGCACCGGCUAACUCCGUGCCAGCAGCCGCGGUAAUACGGAGGAUGCGAGCGUUAUCCGGAUUUAUUGGGUUUAAAGGGUGCGUAGGCGGAUCGUUAAGUCAGUGGUCAAAUUGGGGGGCUCAACCCCUUCCCCGCCAUUGAAACUGGCGCUCUUGAGUGGAAGAGAAGUAUGCGGAAUGCGUGGUGUAGCGGUGAAAUGCAUAGAUAUCACGAAGAACCCCGAUUGCGAAGGCAGCAUACCGGCUCCACACUGACGCUGAGGCACGAAAGCGUGGGUAUCGAACAGGAUUAGAUACCCGAGUA
rnacentral:rRNA from 1 species